rnacentral:rRNA from 1 species
UACGGGGGGUGCAAGCGUUAUUCGGAAUCAUUGGGCGUAAAGAGCGCGUAGGCGGCCCUUUAAGUCAGAUGUGAAAGCCCGGGGCUUAACCCCGGAAGUGCAUUUGAAACUAUUGGGCUUGAGUAUGGGAGAGGGAAGUGGAAUUCCUGGUGUAGAGGUGAAAUUCGUAGAUAUCAGGAGGAACACCGGUGGCGAAGGCGGCUUCCUGGACCAAUACUGACGCUGAGGCGCGAAGGCGUGGGGAGCAAACAGGAUUAGAUACCCCCGUA